CUUCUCGGGCUCUCCGUGGAGCGAUGCGUGUUGCUUCGCAUUGCAUUUGGAGGGCAGCAAGCCAGGUUAAAGGAACUGUCUCUUGGCGCAAAUAAUCAUGCAACACCUUUUGGACGUUCCAUGAAAUGGAUCAAGGAAGAAUACCCUGCCAAGGGAAAGGCCAGCCAUCUGCCAAAGAAGCAGCCAUUCCGGGAUAUUUGCACAAAAUACCUGGAUUGCUCCAAGGCCCCUGUGCUUGCGAGACAAGAGGACUGGCGCCUUGGUCUCUUUACCGUAAUCCCAGUGAGAAACCACCAGCCUGGCUCCAGCUGGACCGAAAUGCCUGUUUACGUUCCUGUGGCAUCACCUUACCCAUCAUGUGGCUGUUUAUUCAGAAGUCCAUUCCGGUGUGUCUAAUACAGCUCGUUCCAAGAUGAGCGUUUACAGCAAGAGUACAGCCCAGAAACCCGAACCUUCACAAACAAAGAUGAGACAUGGGAAAGAAACACAGUUACCCACAUCCUUUUUUUAACACAACUGCUCAUGCGGCAGAACCGUAAAAUAAAUGUGGU